rnacentral:lncRNA from 1 species
AGAGAACUUGUGGCAGUUAUAUGUCCUUAUUGUGAGAAGAAUUUUUGCCUGAGACACCGUCAUCAGUCAGAUCAUGAGUGUGAAAAACUGGAAAUCCCAAAGCCUCGAAUGGCUGCCACUCAGAAACUUGUUAAAGACAUUAUUGGUAAGUAUCUAGAAAGCGUGUUUUGUUGCUUUCCUAGUUCCAGAGCUCCUGCUUCUUAUAUCUACUUUCCAAUUAUGGGAGGCAUCAUUAAUAACCCCAGUGGUAUUCGUAUUAACUUGUAUUUUGAUGAUAUUCUUGUGACAGUAUUUCUUAUGAGGUCUACCUGACCGAUGGAAAUUUGGAAAUUAUUUGGAGGUACUCCACUGUAAGUACUUAUCUCUUUUGCUGAGCCACUUAGAUUAGCUAGUUAACCAUUGGGCUAGAAAUGGUAUUCAUGAGAUUGAAGUAGUCAGCUGCUUUCUCUACAGAUUAAACUCUAAGCCUAGUCAGCUGUUCUGUGAAUGCUGCUGAUAAUAAGAGAUACCAGGAAUGAAUGUAUCUGUGACUUAAAUCAGUCUGCCUGCCAGUAUGUUAGCUCAGAAUUUUUAUUCCAUAUUAAGGAUAGUACCUUUAUUACAAUCUUGCAUAACCAAAUCUUAAGGUUGUCUGUAGAAGCAUUAAUGACUGCUUUAGGUUAAAUAGGCUUAAGUUGAAAAGAAGCACAUUAUAGUGGAUUUUUUGAUGUGGAGAUUGCCUAGAUCAAUCUCAAUGAUAUUUUUCCAUUGACAAUGUAAAUACAAUACCUAUACAAUGAAUGUGGUCUCUGUAUAUCUCUCUUGUGUGUAAUUUAUAUAUGUUUCUGAGCCAUAAUUAAUAAGUGUAUUAUAAUAAAAUUCUAUUUGUAAUGUGAAAGUUUUAUGUGAUUACAUGCUUACACUUCUUAGAUUCCAAGACAGGAGAAACAGCAAGUAAACGAUGGAAAGGUGCCAAAAAUAGUGAAACAGCUGCAAAGGUUGCAUUGAUGAAAUUAAAGAUGCAUGCUGAUGGCGAUAAGUCAUUACCACAGACAGAAAGAAUUUACUUUCAGGUUUUCUUACCUAAAGGGAGCAAAGAGAAGAGCAAACCAAUGUUCUUUUGCCACCGAUGGAGCAUUGGAAAGGCCAUAGACUUUGCCGCUUCUCUAGCCAGGCUUAAAAAUGACAAUAACAAAUUUACAGCUAAGAAAUUAAGGCUGUGUCACAUUACUUCAGGAGAAGCCUUACCCUUGGAUCAUACUUUGGAAACCUGGAUUGCUAAGGAGGAUUGUCCUUUAUAUAAUGGUGGAAAUAUAAUCUUGGAAUAUCUUAAUGAUGAAGAACAAUUCUGUAAAAAUGUUGAAUCUUACUUGGAAUAGUCAUUCAAAGAUUCAAGUCAGAAAUCACAGGGAAAAUUCUAUUACAUGUUUAAGUCCAUUUAUUUUACUACAAAUACUAUUUUUGUAAUUUUUAAAAGUUGCUUUUUAACUUAUUUCCCCUUAUGUCACAUUUUAAAUUAUGAGUUUUCUAUUAGAGUUUUUUGGUUUUAAGUUUAAUUGUGUACGGAUCCUCAAUUAUUAGCAAAUUCUUAUAUUUAAUUAGCUUUCAUUAGUUUAUGCUGUAGUGACAACAACAAAGAUGUAUUUCCUGGUGGGGGAUGUCAGCUGUUGAUUGGCUGUGACACUGCUUUGUGUCAUCUUCUUACCAUGAUCAAAGGCAAAGGAAGGGAUCUCUUUUGGGACAUUGUGAUUGUUUUAGCAGAGAGAGAAAGAGAUGAAAUACACUUCGGUUUUCUCUUAAAAGAUGCAUGUAUCAUACGUGCUUUAAGCAAGUCAUGUGGCCAAGCCUAGCAUCAUGGAGCCAGAAAGUAUAGCCUUGCUGUCUGUCUACAUCAUGAUGUAUAAAUUGAUAUAUCUACAUGAAUUAUAGAAACUUAGAAGUGAUCUUUAUUCAGUCUUAUAAUUUUUACAUGAAGAAUCUUAGGCCUAGGAGGAGAAAAUGAUUUUCUUUCUAUUACCUAACUAGAUUGGGGCAUAUUUCUGAUAAAGACCCACCUCUAGUGAGAUUCAUCUUUUUUGUUUGUGUGACUAUAUUCCAUAGAGAAGAAAGAUGGGAUAGCUCAACUUCAUUAUAUACCAAAGCAAAACACAUGCCAAAUGAUGACUACAUUUUACCAACAUAUUUAGACGAGUAUUCUUGACUAGUGUUUACUAUCUAUACCCCCAAAACUACUACUAUAUAGACAGAAUGGAAAGUAUUUCUAUUUGUCCUUUUUUUGUUUUCUGUUCUAAUUGUCAGGGACAUAUGUAGUGGCUAUAGGUUUACUUAAAAGGAAUAAAUUUGGAAUGCUCAUUUGGUUUAUUUCCUUUCUAAUUCUUCAUAUUAUUUUUAUGUGAGGAAUGGAGAUAAUUUCCAACUUUUAUUAUGUUCUUGUACUUUCAUUCAUUAGCAUAGUUAUUUGAGUUCCCACUAAAUGUAGGGAUUUGUCCUAAUUGCCAUGAUUAAUACAAUGAUGAUAUGUAUACAUACAGGUAUACCUUGGAAAUAUUGUGGGUUCAGUUUCAGACUACCACACAAAGCAAAUAUUGGAGUAUAUUGAGCCAGACAAAUUUUUUUUUGUUUCCCAGGGCAUAUAAAAAUUAUGUUUACACUAUACUAUAGUCUAUUUAAUGUGCAAUAGCAUUAUGUCUAAAAAAUGUAUAUACUUUAAGUAAAAAAAUACUUUAUUGCUAAAAAAUGC